CACGUAUUAGUGUGUGUGUAGUUUUCUGUGUGUGAACGUGUCAGAUCGAAAGGUGGUACACUUUACAGAUUUAUUGUCAUCGAUUUUAAAUGGCGCCGACGAUAGAAAGAUAAGAAGCAAAAAGAGACAUAACCCUUCUUGCUUUGAACCGUAACUCACUGUAAAAAGUUUACGUUAAAAGUAACAGAGUGUGAAUUACAAAAUGGCGUCUGCAAAGUGUCAUGACGUCAGCAGGUGCUGGGCGAACUGUCCAUGACAGAGAGAUGUCCGCAGUUAUGUAUAACUUAAAAGAGCAAAGAGUCCUAGAGAAAUCUCUCCAGACCCUUGACCUUGAGCAGAGCUAUGCCAUCAGACUUUUGGAAUUAGAUAAUAGAAUAAUAAAGGUGAUUUUAAAUCU
rnacentral:sRNA from 1 species